CGGCGGACGGGUGAGUAACGCGUGGGGAACCUACCUCGCACCGGGGGAUAACAGCCGGAAACGGCUGCUAAUACCGCAUAAGCGCACAGCAUCGCAUGAUGCAGUGUGAAAAACUCCGGUGGUGUGAGAUGGACCCGCGUUAGAUUAGCUUGUUGGUGGGGUAACGGCCCACCAAGGCGACGAUCUAUAGCCGGCCUGAGAGGGCGACCGGCCACAUUGGGACUGAGACACGGCCCAAACUCCUACGGGAGGCAGCAGUGGGGAAUAUUGCACAAUGGGCGAAAGCCUGAUGCAGCGACGCCGCGUGAACGAAGAAGUAUCUCGGUAUGUAAAGUUCUAUCAGCAGGGAAGAAAAUGACGGUACCUGACUAAGAAGCCCCGGCUAACUACGUGCCAGCAGCCGCGGUAAUACGUAGGGGGCAAGCGUUAUCCGGAUUUACUGGGUGUA
rnacentral:rRNA from 1 species